UACGUAGGGUGCGAGCGUUUAAUCGGAAUUACUGGGCGUAAAGCGUGCGUAGGCGGUUUCAUAAGCUUGAUGUGAAAGCCCCGGGCUCAACCUGGGAAUGGCAUUGAGGACUGUGGAGCUAGAGUGCGGCAGAGGGAGGUGGAAUUCCACGUGUAGCAGUGAAAUGCGUAGAGAUGUGGAGGAACACCGAUGGCGAAGGCAGCCUCCUGGGCCGACACUGACGCUGAGGGCACGAAAGCGUGGGGAGCAAACAGG
rnacentral:rRNA from 1 species